ensembl:lncRNA
GUGUGUUUGUGAGGGUGUGUUUUUGUGAAUGUGUUUGUUUGUGUGAGUGUGUGAGUGUGUUGUGACAGUGUGAGUAUGUUGUGAGAGUGAGAGCGUGUUUGUGAGAGUGUGUUUGUGUGAGAGUGUGAGUGUGUUGUGAGAGGGUGUGAGUGUGAGUGUGUUGUGUGAGUGUGUUUGUGAGAGUGUGUGUGUGUUUGUGAGAGAGUGUUUGUGACUGAGUGUGAAUGUGUUUGUGUUUGUGUUUGUGUGAGUGAGUGUGUUUGUGUGAGAGUGUUUGUGUGUUUGUGUGAGCGUGUUUGUGUUUGUAUGAGUGUGUUUGUGUGAGAGUGUUUGUGACUGAGUGUGUUUGUGUGAGUGUGUUUGUGAGAGUGUGUUUUUGAGAGAGUGAGUGUGUUUGUGUUUGUGUGAGUGUGUUUUUGAGAGAGUGAGUGUGUUUGUGUUUGUGUGAGUGUGUUUUUGAGAGAGUGAGUGUGUUUGUGAUAGUGUGUUUGUGAGAGUGUGAGUGUGUUUGUGAGAGUGUGUUUGUGUGUGUGUGAGUGUGUUUGUGUGAGUGUGUUGUGAGACUGUGCGUGUGUUGUGUGAGUGUGUUUGUGAGAGUGUGAGUGUGUUGUGAGACUGUGAGUGUGUUGUGUGAGUGUGUUUGUGAGAGUGUGAGUGUGUUGUUGUGUUUGAGAGAGUAUGAGUGUGUUUGUGAGAGUGUGUUUGUGAGAGUGUGUUUGUGAGAGUGUGAGUGUGAGAGUGUGUUUGUGAGAGUGUGAGUGUGUUUGUGAGAGUGUGUUUGUGAGAGUGUGAGUGUGUUUUUGAGAGAGUAUGAGUGUGUUUGUGUUUGUGUUUGUGACUGAGUGUGAGCGUGUUUGUGUGUGUGUAACAGUGAAGAUUUGGUUUCUUCCACUUGCAUCCUUUUUGUGCUAUUUAAUCACACUGAGCAUGUGCAUAAGUCAUGUUGUUGGGGAUAUAGUGACCUCUAGGGGAUACAUGUUGAACUGAGUGGCUCUCCUCAGAGUUUGAAGGGUUAGAG